AUCUGAAUCGGGGCCUUCCACUAGAUCUCAUAUUCCACUUUUUCGCGCUUAAGGUUAGUCCCUGCUUCUUCUUACACUACUACUCUUUGCUUUCCUUUGUCAGCAGUCUCUAUUACGCUUUCAAUGCGAAACAGUUCAGCUUUGUUCACCCACUUAGCUUACUCGAUCUGAAAUAGUUGUCAUUUUCUUUUGGCAAUUGGUUUUUCAUGCAUGUUUCAAUUUCUUAAUCAAGUUCGAUUCUUUAAUAUAGUAUUUGAAAAGCUUUACUGAAAUGGGUUGUGGGUGUUGCUGAUCUAUGUGAUUGAAAAUAGUGUUGAAUACUAAUUUGAAUUAGAAAGAUGGCUCUGUGUGUGUGUGUGAUUGAGUUGAUGCUGGGAAAGGUUGAAUCUUAUGUGAGAUGUAUGAUGUUAGAGAGGUAUUACUAUUACUUAAUAAAAUGGAACCAAACUUGAAGAGUUGGGGAGUCUUCAAUGUAAAGUCUGAAAUUUGAAUAAUCCCGAUUUUGAUUUAGAUACCCAGCUAACAUCAGUUACAUUUCAAAUGUGGUUUCCUCUUUGGCUGAAUCUUUGAUGGUUGAUCUCAAUUUAGCUGAAUUUAUAUGGAAAUUUUGAGUUCAAUAAGUGGUGAAUUGUGAGGAGAAGUGUUUCACACUAGGCACUUGGAAAUACUGUUAACUGUUAAGUUCUGUUUCAACUGAUUUUGGUUCUUGCAGGUCCGCUGCUAUUAUAUAAGCAUGUCCAGGAGGCCAGUAAAUCCUGCUAGGCGCAUCAGUGAGAUGGUGGAAGCAUCCCUUUUGUGGGUGCGGUGCAGGCCAAAGCACGCUCAUCACCUGUACUUUCUGUAGCGCUUGUGCUUCUGUGUACAGUCCUUCUUGUCUGCUAUGCUUUUAGUGGGUCAGGUGGAGUGAGCAGUAAAGGCGCUGUGAUUAAACUUGAUGGUGGUGUUUCAUGUACAUUUGAAGUUCAGAGAGCAAUACCUAUACUAAAGAAGGCAUAUGGUGAUAGCAUGCAUGUAGGCGCUGAAACGUUUUCAGUGGUAUCUAAAUUAUUAAAAGAGGAGGAGACUGAAGCCUGGGGUGUGGAACCAUAUGACUUGGAAGAUGUUGAUACAAAUUGCAAGAGUCUUGUGAACAAAGGCAUUGUGUGUGCUGCUGAUAUAAAGUUUCCUCUUCCAUACUGGGCAAAAUCAUUUUCUCUGGUAAUAGUAUCAGAUGGAUUAGAUUACUUGUCUCCUAAGUACCUCAACAGAACUCUUCCAGAGUUAGCAAGGGUAUCUGCUGAUGGCGUAAUUAUAUUCUCUGGUUAUCCAGGCCAACAAAGAGCUAUAGUUGCAGAGCUCUCCAAAUUUGGCCGUCCAGCCAAAUUGCGAAGCUCGUCCUGGUGGAUAAGAUUUUUUGUUCAAACAAGCUUAGAAGAGAAUGAAUCAGCCUUAAAGAAGUUUGAACCAAGGAAGAAAAAAUCGAAAGUUGGGGACGUUAUAGCGUACUGUGUCAAGCCUAGUAGCCUUGGUAGUAUAGAGAAGGGCAGAGAGGAACCACAUAAAUCUAGCAACCAACUGAAUUCUAAAUUCAUGGUUCCAUGGCAUUUUGUGGCUGUUCAUUAG